rnacentral:lncRNA from 1 species
GAUACAACAUUUACCAACCCAAACAUUUAAUCAUUAGGAACAAGAUGUGUACAAAGUCGAAACAUUACCUGUGGAAUCUUUCAGCACUAUCUUUUCUUAUAUGUGAGCAUAACAAAAGUAGGUUUUGACAAGAUCAUCUUCUUCACUGUUAUAAUUUGAGAAAGUAUUAAAAGAAAGGUAGGAAGUCAAUGUUUAUGUUUCCUCAUGAGGGGUGGUUGAUUCUUAAUUUCUUUGGUCUAGGAGUUGGUGGGCUGCAUGAUGUGAGUGUAGGCCAGGCUAAAAGUGGCAGCAUGUGGGAGAACAGAGGAAAAGAGGAAAGAAUAUUGUUGGGUUUAAUUCCAUUG